CUAGCAUUGUUUAAGUGUAGGCCUAUACAUCCUUAAAUUGUUUCGCUCUGUGCCGCGACGGACCCGUCGUGGGAACCAAAGCGAGAAUUUUUAUUCAUGGUCAAUUAUUCUGUUAUGCAUACUGGAACUACCCGAUAGGAAUAAACUCGGACACGCUGUUAUUAUGUGCAUACGGAACGUCCUAUUUCUGAAGUUGGACAUCAUGUGUUCUCUCAUUAUCUAUUAAAGAUGCAAUAAUUCGCAAUUUAUAGACAUCGCUGGUUACAAUUUAUGACACAUUCGGAAUGUGCAAACCGAUAAAUUAUUUUUACGAACUACAUUAAUAGUUCUAUAGAUCUAUUUGUAGAAAAUGAUACUUCAUAUGCACCAAUCUAACAUUUAUAACGACGCAGUAAUAAUUGUUUUGAUUUAAAUAAUAAUCAAGGGCAGAAAUAGACGCUCGUAUGUCACGUUCGCGGUGUUAGAACGACUGUCAACUAUGACUGCAAUCGCGAAAAAAGAUUUCAGGUCGUGUUAUACUUUACGAUUAUCGCCAGGAAUUAGUCAUAUCGCUAUCAGAAAUGAGUAAGAUUUAAACAUGCAGGAAAUGUUUCGGUAGACCGAAUUCUUUUGUGCACGAGCAGUCCUGUGCGAGAUAUCAACGCUUAAAUGCCACGAGAUAAGAAGCGGUUUAACACGCGUUGCAUUGUGAUUUCUAUUUUUCUAACAAUAAGCUGCUCCGCCAGAUAAACCGGAAACUCAAGAGCGAUCAUGAUACCAUCGAACUGAGUUUGAUCUUUGGGCUUACGUAUGGCUGCAAUCGAUCAUUUAAACGCAUUCUGGUUGUAUCAUUAAUUCUUCUUUCGUGUAUGUAUCGAGAAAUUGUUGACACCGAGUUUAGUAAGGACAUGUUCUAUCUGUAUAAAUGUAAAAUCUGUUACGAAAUCAAAUCUAUAGGUGCAAUUACGUAUCUUCUUAAAAUAGCUGAUAGGAUUCACAUUUAACUGAUCUACGAAUUCGAUACACUUGGACGUUUCAUAAAACAAACAAUUUCGUUGUAAAGGACUGAGUUCAGAAAUAUCUAGCUCAUUGUCGGGAACUGACACAAGAUUAUCCUAUCUAAAAAUACUUAGAUGACACAUUGAAGCGGAAUUCUAAAAAAAGAAAUUGUUCUGCGCGUAAAUAUCGAGUUUGCUCAAUACAUAAAUUUUUUUCAAAUAUAUCUAAUCGUAUUUGACGUCAUUAGGAUUAUUAUGUGUACGAUAACGUUUAUAUGAGGUCGAGAAAAGUAAUUCUAGCUAAAAAUGGGUAAAUUUUAAUUAAUUAAUUAAUAAAUGGAUGAGGAAAGAUCUUGCCAUUUUCAUUUUAUGUAUAUGAUCUUUGACCGAUCCUUGGAGUGAGAAUUCGAGAUCAGGGAUCAUCACCUUAGAUCACCCGAAUAAUCACGUACGAAGAUCGACCAAUUCUGGAGGGAGACUAUAAGCCUCACCCGCGAUGCAAGAAAAUUUUUAUAAGAGGGAGGAAACGACGAGCUGCCCAUAAGCCUCAGUACGAUGUUCAAAAGUACGUCCAUUGGGUGGUUGCUGGAGGAAUUUAACGUGGGACGUUUCAACUUCUUCGUCGACAGAUGCUCUGACGCCGUCCAGUAAGGAAGCUAACAAGGAAUCUCUGUCUGUCGCCGUAUAACUACGUGCUUGCCCAUUAAGAUAUUGUAUAGUAAAUAAUUGUGGAUUCUC